AAAAACAAAAAACAAGCUUAAAUGUUACUCCAACUAAAGUCACUUAAAUUACUUGUAAAUUAUUGCUCUUAUUAGUUUGAAGCAGGAGAUAUAUUAGUAUAUGUGUGUACACAAACACACCUCAAGAAACAAUACAUACAGAAUCAAAAUAAUUAACGAAACUGGCAAAUAUAGCAGCAACCUUUACUUCUGAGAAAAUUAUUAUUUUGUUUUAUAGCUGCUUUAACUUUCAUCAUUCUACCCCAAGCAGCGGUCUACAGAUAAGUAGGGAUAUCACGCAUAAAUAGCUACUACUUCAGCCUACCGAUAAGCUACCAGUUUCCAUAUGCUGUUGCAGGUUACUGGCAAAACAUGAAUAUAACAUUAGCUGGCAAACCAGAGGAAAGUAUUUAAUAAACCAAAGUGGUUCCAACAGGAAUUUACAUCGGUGAUUCAAUUAAUUUCCUCAGGCAGCGUGUGGGUAUAGCUUUUUGGGAAAAUAAAGAUGUCAACGAUAGUUCUAGACCAGCAAGAGUAGCACAAUGGUUAACCUGUAUUUAUACAAAUCAUCUGUCAUCAGACGAUAAAACAUGCGUCUACAUGUGCAAUAAAGAACACACAACAGAACAAUUUAUUUCUUCUUAAAUCAAAUUCUAUUUGUGAAUUCAGCAAAAUAAUUUCUAUAAAAUAAAACAGCAAAAUAUUUAAAUAUUAUAGGGUGGGCUGUAUCUGUUUUGCAGGGGUAUUUGGUUUCUCUCUCUUUUUUUUUUUUUUUUUUUUUAAGACAGUUUCCAAAAAAUACACACAUUCAAGUUACCAAUUUUUUUUUUUUUUUUUUUUUAAAUACAGUAUUUACUGAUGUUUUUUUCUGGAAAUUAAUAAAACAUCCUGGACACCGUUUACUGAUGAACUGUAUUUGACUAGCCAGUAGUAAUAUCUUAUAUUCAGACCCUAGUUCUAGUAUUAAAUAUUAUAGAAUGCAAUAAGGAUUACAGGCCAAUUCUAAUUUCAAGUAGAGCGGUUUUCCAUUGCAAAUACCACCAAACUUGACCCUGGCAAUGGUAUUCACAAGUAUAAUGUAUUGUCAUAGACCUCCAACUUUAUUGAGCUGUGGAAGAAGGAAAAGUGAAGGAUGUCUCUAGAAUAAGCUUUACCAAAUGAACAAAAACAAGCACACACAAUACCGUUUCAACUAUGCUUCAGAGAUUCUGGCAUAGCAAAUGUUUGCAUAUUUGUGUUCUCUUUUUUAUUUAUAUUACUUUCCCCCUUAUUAUAUUAAUUAUUGAAGCUACUGAAGUGUUCUGUAUCCCACCCACAGGCAAUUCUCAAAUAUUACAAAUGGGAACAUGUGCAACUCAAUCAAUUUUAUGUUUUAUCAUCUUUUCCCAUUUCAGACAAAAUCUAACAAAAAGAACAAAACAAAAAAAAAAAAAAAAAAAAAAAAAAAAAAGAAUAAAAAAUAAACCCCAAAACAAAAUAAAAACACACACAAAAUAACCACUUUAACACCCCCCCCCACCCCCAUCAAAAAAAUCCCUGAACAGUGCAACUGUUUGAAAUCAUGGUACAUCCUCCUCACCAACCCUCCCAAGACCCCUUAUUGUCUGGCUACACUAUGUGGUGUGAAGCCAUGCUAUAUCUUACAGCAUAACAAGAUGUUUAUGUUUGAAAGGUUUAAACAAAUACUUGUAUGAUGAAGGCAAAGAAAGGAAACCUAGAAACAAAAUUUUACAUCACCAUUUGUCCACAUCAACCAAACGAUUAUAACUUCAUAGCCAUCAGGUUGCUCCGUGUAGAAAAGAAAAUUUUUAUAUAUA